AUGGCUACUUGUAGACGUUGGGAGCUGCCUCUCCCCGACACGCUCCGUGGCUUGCACCGUCUCGACGUCUACUGCAAGGUGCCUGUCCUCUGGGAGGACACCGACAUACCCAAAAAUGCAGACCAGAUCUCCAUGGUGUCGCCGCCCACGAUCUCCAGAGAUCUUGGCAAGCUUGUUAUGAUUCAGGGGGAGGGGGAGCCCCAGACGAAGUUGGAGUUGUCACGGAGGCAUUGCAUGUUGCCGGACGUGACCUUCAUCAUUGAGCAGACCGAGAUCCAUGCGCACAAGACCGCGCUUUCCAUGCGGUCACCGGUCUUCGCCGCACAGUUUCGAUGGCACACGACAGAGAGCACCGCGCGGGUCCACGACAUAAGUGCCUCCACUUUCAGGGCCAUGCUGCACUUCAUCUACACCGAUCAGCUCGAAUUAAAGAGCGCUGAUGGUGGUCGUGUGGCUAUGGCGCUCGACCUACUUGUGGCGGCAGAUCGGUAUGAUAUCGGAAGCCUGAGGCUCAUGUGUGAGAACAUAUUGUCCGAGAGCAUGGGUGUCGUGUCAGUCAUGUCGACAUUGAUGGAGGUCCAUGGCCGGCAUAGCUGUCGGGCGGUGGAGGCCUUGUGCAUCGAGUACAUGGCAUCAGAUCCCGCCGUGUACGCAGCCGUGAAGGCGACAGAGGACUACAAGGAGCUAAAGGAGAGUUGCUACUCUUCCGUACUCGAGGUCGUCGAGAAAGUAGCAGCCGUCAACAUGGCUCAUAACAUGUGCUCCAAUGCUCCUUCUUCCUCCAGCAGUCGGCCGCAGAUGAAUGCGGCCACGUAUUACUCACUGGAGGUUGUCGAGGGAACACACAAGUUUAAAAUUCCCGGUUUUCUCUUUGUGCAAAGGAGGCAUGGAGUUGGGAAAGAAAUCAGUUCAGAAGCUUUCCAGGUUGGUGGUUACAGUUGGAAGAUAAAGGUAUACCCGUCGUCAUCAUCAGAGAAGGCACAAGGGCACAUCUCCGUGUAUGCUGAGCUGUUGACUGAUCCUGGAACCGAAGGUGUCAAUGUGACAUUGGGCUUUAAGUUGGAUGGUCAUAGUGGCCAGUCACGCCAUUUGAUAAAAUGGUCAGAGAAAACCUUUACAACCAAGUCAGACCGGGGAUAUGCGAAGUUCGUCACCGUUGAAGCCGCCAAGUCAUGGCACCUAGCACGUGAUGCCUCCCUUACCGUAUGUUGCGAUGUUGCCAUCACCAAGAAGGUCUACACUAGCACUACUAGCACCAGCACCGUCGGCACCGGAGCCCCAAUGCCACUGUCCAAUAUUACCUCGCACCUGAAGCAGUUGCUGGUGAGCGAGCACGGGUCGGAUGUAAGGUUCCUGGUCGAGAACAUCGAGCUCCGCGUCGUGAUCGCCGCACGGUUACCAACCCUAUGUGAAAUGAUGAUGAUGGGCAUGAAGGAUGGCGACGGCAUACCGGUUGAUGGCGUGACAGUUGCGGUUUUCAAGGCUGUGCUCCAUUUCAUCUACACCGACGAGCUGCCUCCUAUUCAAGACCUAACCCAUGAUGGUGCUGCCCAAGAUGAGGUGAUGAUAGCCGAAGAUAUGUUGGUUGAGGCGUGUUGGUUCGGUCUAGGCAGGAUAAAGGCCAUGUGCGAGAAUCUGCUAGCCGGAUUAAUCGACUUGGAAGAAGAUGCACUAAGCACGCUAGAGCCUGUCAGCGAUCUCCAAUGCUCGAACCUCAGAGAUUACUGCAACCAGUUCAUCGCGUCGAUGAGUAAUUACAUCAUAGUCGACUCAUCGCAAAUAUAUUGA
rnacentral:rRNA from 1 species